rnacentral:rRNA from 1 species
UACAACGGAGUCGGGGACGACGUUCUCAGAAAACCGGUACGGGGGUAGUGGUAGGUGGAAAGAUCAGGUUCGAAACAGGGGUACGAUGGAGUCGGGGGUCUCGAACGGUGACAGUAGGCAGUGGAACGACUGAUGUUCAAGCCACAGGUGCUACUGUGAGAUGACUAGUUCGUGACGGUCUUGCCGUGACAGAAGUGGGUCGUGCUGUUUCCUCUUUGUCUUAACUGUGAACCUCACGUGGCGGGCGACACGGGACUCUCUCUAUACGGAUAGCAGGAUGGUAAGGGUACACACCUUGCAUUAUAGGUUACCAAACCACGUUACGAGAGGUUUGUUCCGUCGUUGCCACCGAACAGGAUGGACAUACACAACCCAUGGUUCCUGAACCCGUUCAAGGACCACGCACAUAGAGUUAGGCGUCUAGGGAGGGGCGAGGCCGCUCGGGCGGUACUUGGCAGACGCCCGCCCCUCGGGUCAGAUGCCCGCCGUCGCGUCGCCCUCGUCGUGCCCGAAGUGGAGGGGCCCGCCAUAGAGGGGGAAGGUGGUGGCGAGGAGGAGGUGGAGGAAACGACGGAGGGAGGUUGCGGGCGUGUCGAGCGGUUUUUGUAUCUGCAGCAGCGGCGGCGGGGAGCGUGGUACCAGCCGGGGACGUAGCUGAGGGGUGUGGAGGGGCGGGAGUUCACCGAGGACGGGAGGUGAUGGACCUAGGCGCAGUGGGGUAAGCGUAGGGGUGGGUGGACGACGGCGGUAGCUGAGAGCGGCGGGGGCAGGUGGUGGAGCAUGGUGCGGCGGCUGGUGGUAGGUGAGAGCGCACGUGUGCUGGAGGAGCGAGAAGCGCUGACGAGGUGGUGGCGCGGCUCGAGCGGAGCAAGGCGACGCAGGAGAUGAGGCCGACCUAGGCGGUACAGACCACUCAAGUAGGGGGAGGGGGGAGGAAGGAGGAUAGAGAGGGAAGGGAGAGAUUAGAGGAGAGAACUUAAUAGAAGAAAACAUCGUCAUCUCCUCGCCCACCCCUUCGUGGUUGGUUCCGGUACAGUACCUCCAAGACGAGUUCGUUGGGACGUGACGAACGUCGGCUGCGCCACCUCUCGAGAUAAAGAAGAAGAAAACGAAGGACCGCUCCGGCCACUACAGGGACCCCACCGCGGCUGCGAACGGGACCAGCGGCGCCACCACGAAGCCGCCGAAGAUCUGGGAGAGGACCUACACCACUACCAGUGUGGUGUCGGCACGAGGAGGUACCGGAACCGGUACUAAACCCAACCUACACCCCGAGAUGAUCAACGACGAUCUACGACCAGAAAGUCAUCGACGGGUACACAUGAACGAAAUAUAUACACGAGGACACUACGAGACACCUUGUUGGACCUCAAUCUCUUGAAGUUCCGGUUCUAGUUGCUCCACUGGCCGCAAUACCGCCGACACAUGCCGCCGCUGGUGUUCAAGAAGCCACUCGACCGAGGUAGAGGAUGGGGAUCGAGGGAGAAAAGACAACCUGAGUACGAGACGUGGAUGUGGUCGUCGAACUAACCAAGAUAUAUGUGAUCGUCGUCAUGGAGUACAUGUACAUUAACCUGCGGGUCCCAACUUCCACGAUUCCGCGGCUGCGUGGCCGGAUUUGAAAGCCGGCCAGGCGACGAUCGGUAGGCUAAACCUUCAUCGCUUGGCAGUCUAGAACGGAGGAGUAUGAAGGGGAAAGGACAGGAAAGAGUGUGCGUGUUCCUUUGCUUUGUGUUUUUCACGGUAGCUAGGUACGGGCACGCUGGAGGUACGGGCGCGCUGGACCUUCGAGGCGACCAAGGGGUUGCGAGCAGCGAGCGGCAGCUGUAGCGGCGAGCAGCCAACGUCGUCUUUUUUGUUUCGUUGCGGUCGAACUUUCGUUUUGUGUACCAAGGUCGUUUAUUAAUU